UACAAUAUUUUUCUCUGAAAUGUAGCAGAGUAGAAGGAGAAAGUGGCAUGAAAAGAAAAGACUCAAGUACAGUACAAGAACCUCAAAUUUGGACUGAAGUACAGAACUUGAGUAAAUGUACUUAGUUCCAUUCCACCACUGGGCACAAUAUUCUCUCGGCAAAAAAGUGGA